AAAUCAGCCAUUUUCUUUAGCGCAAACUGUAAUGAUGAGACAAAGGCAAUGGUCCAUGUGAAUAUAGAGAUUGAGACGGAAGCAUUAGUUGAGAAGUACCUUGGACUACCAACCGCCAUUGGUAAAUCUUCUGAUGUACAGUUUGAGCACAUAGCAACAAAUAUUCGAAAAUUGGUGAAUGGGUAUGUUCCUAAACUCUUAAGCAGUGCGGCAAGGGAAGUUUUGAUUAAAGCGGUAUGCCAAGCUAUCCCAACUUAUUCUAUGAGCUGCUUUAGACUUUCCAAGAAAUUGUGCAAGAAAUUAACCAAUAUUGUGGCCCGCUUCUUUUGGGGGGGAGAUGAUAAUAAGAGGAAAUUGCAUUGGAAGAAGUGGAAGGAUAUUGCAAUACCUAAAGGAGAAGGAGGGAUGGGUUUUAGGGAUUUCGAAUUAUUCAACCAGGCUAUGCUGGCGAAACAAGGCUGGAGGUUGCUUACAUCACCAGAUUCUCUAUGCGCUAGAGUCUUAAAGGCUAUCAGUAGGGUGGAAGAAUUGAUUGACGCAGAUAAUGAUGAAUGGAAUAUGAAUUUGAUUAAAGCAAAUUUUGUGGAACCGGAUGUUAGUGUAAUAUGCAGGAUUCCGAUUAGUAAUUCAGCUGAGGAUAUUUGGGCUUGGCAACCAGAAAAACAUGGUCAUUUCACUGUGAAAUCG
rnacentral:rRNA from 1 species